UACGAAGGGGCUAGCGUUGCUCGGAAUUACUGGGCGUAAAGGGCGCGUAGGCGGAUAUUUAAGUCGGGGGUGAAAGCCCAGGGCUCAACCCUGGAAUUGCCUUCGAUACUGGAUAUCUUGAGUUCGGGAGAGGUGAGUGGAAUGCCGAGUGUAGAGGUGAAAUUCGUAGAUAUUCGGCGGAACACCAGUGGCGAAGGCGACUCACUGGCCCGAUACUGACGCUGAGGCGCGAAAGCGUGGGGAGCAAACAGGG
rnacentral:rRNA from 1 species